UUGAACGCUGGCGGCAGGCCUAACACAUGCAAGUCGAACGGUAACAGGAAACAGCUUGCUGUUUCGCUGACGAGUGGCGGACGGGUGAGUAAUGUCUGGGAAACUGCCUGAUGGAGGGGGAUAACUACUGGAAACGGUAGCUAAUACCGCAUAACGUCGCAAGACCAAAGAGGGGGACCUUCGGGCCUCUUGCCAUCGGAUGUGCCCAGAUGGGAUUAGCUUGUUGGUGGGGUAACGGCUCACCAAGGCGACGAUCCCUAGCUGGUCUGAGAGGAUGACCAGCCACACUGGAACUGAGACACGGUCCAGACUCCUACGGGAGGCAGCAGUGGGGAAUAUUGCACAAUGGGCGCAAGCCUGAUGCAGCCAUGCCGCGUGUAUGAAGAAGGCCUUCGGGUUGUAAAGUACUUUCAGCGGGGAGGAAGGGAGUAAAGUUAAUACCUUUGCUCAUUGACGUUACCCGCAGAAGAAGCACCGGCUAACUCCGUGCCAGCAGCCGCGGUAAUACGGAGGGUGCAAGCGUUAAUCGGAAUUACUGGGCGUAAAGCGCACGCAGGCGGUUUGUUAAGUCAGAUGUGAAAUCCCCGGGCUCAACCUGGGAACUGCAUCUGAUACUGGCAAGCUUGAGUCUCGUAGAGGGGGGUAGAAUUCCAGGUGUAGCGGUGAAAUGCGUAGAGAUCUGGAGGAAUACCGGUGGCGAAGGCGGCCCCCUGGACGAAGACUGACGCUCAGGUGCGAAAGCGUGGGGAGCAAACAGGAUUAGAUACCCUGGUAGUCCACGCCGUAAACGAUGUCGACUUGGAGGUUGUGCCCUUGAGGCGUGGCUUCCGGAGCUAACGCGUUAAGUCGACCGCCUGGGGAGUACGGCCGCAAGGUUAAAACUCAAAUGAAUUGACGGGGGCCCGCACAAGCGGUGGAGCAUGUGGUUUAAUUCGAUGCAACGCGAAGAACCUUACCUGGUCUUGACAUCCACGGAAGUUUUCAGAGAUGAGAAUGUGCCUUCGGGAACCGUGAGACAGGUGCUGCAUGGCUGUCGUCAGCUCGUGUUGUGAAAUGUUGGGUUAAGUCCCGCAACGAGCGCAACCCUUAUCCUUUGUUGCCAGCGGUCCGGCCGGGAACUCAAAGGAGACUGCCAGUGAUAAACUGGAGGAAGGUGGGGAUGACGUCAAGUCAUCAUGGCCCUUACGACCAGGGCUACACACGUGCUACAAUGGCGUAAACAAAGGGAAGCGACCCCGUGAGGGUGAGCAAAUCUCAAAAAUAACGUCUCAGUUCGGAUUGUAGUCUGCAACUCGACUACAUGAAGCUGGAAUCGCUAGUAAUCGCGAAUCAGAAUGUCGCGGUGAAUACGUUCCCGGGCCUUGUACACACCGCCCGUCACACCAUGGGAGUGGGUUGCAAAAGAAGUAGGUAGCUUAACCUUCGGGAGGGCGCUUACCACUUUGUGAUUCAUGACUGGGGUG
rnacentral:rRNA from 1 species